rnacentral:lncRNA from 1 species
UAAUAAAUCAAGAUCCCUAAGGGAGAAGCUCAAAUACUAUAACUUUAAAAGAGAUGGUCUGAAAAACAAUUCAAUGUCUUUCAGAAGUGAAAAAGAUGAAUCAAAGUACUUUAAAAAGGGGCAGAAGUUUUUAAAAAGGAAAAUACGUAAUUAUUAAUGUUCACAUGCCAGUUGAGCUAAAAUAUUUAUAAUUUAGGAAGUUAUUGGUGGUAUAAACUGAAAUCUGAAAUUAAGGAGUAGCUUUUAAGGUCUGUUAAAGUUUUUAGUGUGUUGCAAGAAAGAUAUUUCAAUCCAUUUCUUUCCUGCAUUUAUGAAACUUUAAUCACUAAAGAGUUGGUGGCCACAGCUGUGGGUGUCUUGCUGGGGCUGGAGUGUGGGCUGGGUCUGCUGGGCAACGCGGUGGCGCU